GAACUGCUUCAUAAUCUUCAGUAACACCAGGCUUGUGUGCCAUUUCCUUGUCUGUAGCCAUGUCUAUGGGCCCUUGAGUUAGCCACCUGGGUGAGGGCCUGUUUUUUC
rnacentral:pre_miRNA from 1 species